rnacentral:rRNA from 1 species
GAUGAACGCUGGCGGCGUGCCUAAUACAUGCAAGUCGAGCGAACAGACGAGGAGCUUGCUCCUCUGACGUUAGCGGCGGACGGGUGAGUAACACGUGGAUAACCUACCUAUAAGACUGGGAUAACUUCGGGAAACCGGAGCUAAUACCGGAUAAUAUAUUGAACCGCAUGGUUCAAUAGUGAAAGACGGUUUUGCUGUCACUUAUAGAUGGAUCCGCGCCGCAUUAGCUAGUUGGUAAGGUAACGGCUUACCAAGGCAACGAUGCGUAGCCGACCUGAGAGGGUGAUCGGCCACACUGGAACUGAGACACGGUCCAGACUCCUACGGGAGGCAGCAGUAGGGAAUCUUCCGCAGUGGGCGAAAGCCUGACGGAGCAACGCCGCGUGAGUGAUGAAGGUCUUCGGAUCGUAAAACUCUGUUAUUAGGGAAGAACAAAUGUGUAAGUAACUAUGCACGUCUUGACGGUACCAAAUCAGAGAGCCACGGCUAACUACGU